rnacentral:lncRNA from 1 species
ACUCCAUUCCACCAGAACCAUGGAUCAGCAAACACCCAGCUAGGGUGCAAGGUACCCUGUCUCCCUUUUUGCAAGUAUCUCCACUCCCCAUAAGGGAGUCUCUUGGAGGCCCUUUUCUUGGUUUUAUGGGGAGCAAAAAGUGUUUCACCUCAAGCUAGUAUUUGUUACAGGCCAAGAUUUCAAAAAUUCUACCCACUUUUUUUAUCCCUCUACUUAUAUAGACCCAGGGGCUUAGAGUUGUGGGUCCCAAAGCCAGUUUUGAUACCUCUUGAAAGUCAUGAGGAAUUCCAGUUAUUUAACAAAUAGAGUGUCUAAGACUUUAUUUUUAGCUUUGCAAUCUGAAUGCCCAUUCGGGGCAAUAAAAAAGUCCCACUCAACAUCUUCUUACAUAGGGAACUUGCUUUGGUAGAUCAAAUUUUUACUCCCAAUUCUUUUCCCCCAUGUAAUAUGAUUAUAAUCCACAUUCUUGCCAUGUCACUUUGCCAUGUCUUCUACUGUGAGAAGAGUAUACUUUCGCACUUUACUGACAUGGGUUUGGGUUUGGCCAUGUCAUUUGCCUUGGCCAAUGAAAUGUUAGCAAACAUGAUGAGUGCAGAGGCUUUAAAUGUACUAGGACAGUUUAGCAUUCCUCAUGUCCUCCUGCCAUUUGGCAUGAGAAGAAUGAGAAGAAUAUGUCCCUGGUAGCUGCUGGUAGCAUCUGGUGGAGAGAUGAGAGACACCUGGAGCAGACCUGAACUUGACCUACAGCAUGAAGGAGAGCCAAUCCCAGUUGACUGGCCACCUCAUAAGUAAGAUAAAUAUAGUUUGUUGUGUGAGCCACUACAAUAAUUAGGGCUAUUUGUUAGGCAGCAUUAUUGCUAUACAGUAGCAGCUAAUUAAUACCCUCGCUAUAUGUCCAACAUUGUGCUGAGCACUGUAUUGUCUCCUUUAAUUCAUUCCUUUUAACAAGUGUGUAAGAUAGAAUUCUCGUUAAUAUUAUCCUUGUUUUACAGGUUAGGAAACUGAGGUGCAGAGAAUUUUAGCACAAUUAGUAAGUGAAAGAGACAAGCUUCAAUCCCAGCAAUCUAGCUCCAGACCGAUACUCUUGCCACCAUGGAACAAAAAGCAGGAGACAAAGAUGUGGCUCUGUGCUCUUCUAAGUCUGCAUACUGGUACAGACCUCAGGCUCAAAACCAUUGUGACUAUUGAUAUCAUUUUCCUGUGUCCCCACCCAAAUCUCAUCUUGAAUUGUAGCUUUCAUAAUCCCCACAUGUCAUGGGAAGGACCUGGUGGGAGGAAACUGAAUCAUGGGGGCAGGUUUUUCCCAUGCUCUUCUCAUCAUAGUAAAUAAGUCUCACAAGAUGAUGGUUUUAUAAAGAGCAGUUCCCCUGCACAUGGUCUCUUGCCUGCCGCCAUGUAAGACAUGCCUUUGCUCUUCCUUUGCCUUCCUCCAUGAUUGUGAGGCUCCCCCAGCCACAUGGAACUGUGAAUCCAUUAAACCUAUUUUUCUUUAUAAGUUACCCAGUCUUGGGUAUUUCUUCAUAGCAGUAUGAGAACAGACUAAUACAGCCGUUUAUGAGUUCCCUAUCAGUACAAGCCUGACCAGACUGCAAGGGCUGAGGCAAUUUUUCUAGCUCUGUCAGUGCAUGCAAAGAGGAUAAGACAGGCUAUUGUGAAGUGCAGUCAUACAACGUUCUGCACGGGAUGCAGAGCACACCUCAUUCUCUGCCUAUUUUUAUUCUCUCUAAGCAAAUAUCUGGGGCUCUCAAAAAUUAUUACACGAGAAUGCAAGGUCAUGUUCUUUAGCAAAAUGUUCUUCAUAAUUGUGAUUCAACAAUGUACCCCUUUCUUUAACCAAGUUAGGACUUCUGAUGAGCAGCAGUUGGGCUUAAAGGUCUUCAAAUUAUAAGCAAGCUAGAAAUUCUGAAGCAUAUAAUAAUGUAUUAUAUAUGUAUAUUUAUGUGUGUGUGUAUGUGUGUGCAUGUACUCUGUUAAGGUGUAUGUGAAACAAAGCUUCUUUACAAACUUCUACACUAUACACCCUGAGGGCAGAGAUCACGUUUUCCUUACCUGUCAUUAACUCUGAUGCCUAACACAAUGAGAAGUCAAUAAACAUUUGCUGAAUAAAUAAAUAAAUGUAAAAGGCAUUUUAGGGAGAAUUAUAUCUUUGAAUUUUGCAUAGUUUAAUUCUUAAAAUGUAAGACUAGGGCAAGCAAGGAGAUGGUUAUAAAAAUGUGAACCCCUUAGAAACCCCUUAGAAAAAAAUAAGGAAGGCCAGGCGCAGUGGCUCACACCUGUAAUCCCAGCACUUUGAGAGGUCUAGGCGGGUGGAUCACUUGAGUUCAGGAGUUCAAGACCAGCCUGGGCAACAUGGUGAGACCCUGUCUCUACUAAAAAUACAAAAAAAAAAAAAAUAGCCAGGCAUGAUGGUGGGUGCCUGUGGUCCCAGCUACUCAGGAGACUGAGGUGGGAGGAUUACUUGAGCCUGAGAGGCAGAGGUUGCAGUGAGCCAAGAUCACACUACUGUACUCCAACCUGAAUAACAGAGCAAGACUCUGUUUCAAAAAAAAAAGGAAGGGGAGAUGGAGAAAUAGCCCACUUUCAAAGUCGUCAACACUCACCAACAAAGGUAGCACUUUGUAAUCUUUCUUUCAGCAAGAGAAGCCAGCUCAGCGUGUGUAGUGGACAUCUGUUGGCUUUGCCUGCUCAGGACCCAUGUCCUCUUCUCUCAGUAACAACUCUCCAGU